rnacentral:lncRNA from 1 species
UAAAGCCUCCAGAACUGUGAGAAAUCAAUUUCUGUUCUUUAUAAAGUACCUAGUCUCAGGUAUUCUGUAAUAGCAGCACAAAAUGGACUAAGACAGACCCCCUCCUAUUUAUGUCUCCUUCUUUUUUAGGAUAGGCCUUGUCUGUGGGGAACAUAAAGGGCUGCUUGGCACUAGGUUGCCUAGAAUUGGUGUGGCACCAGUUUAGGCCAGUGGUCUGAAAAAGCCAGCUAACAUGAGCCUGCGACCUUGAGAACCAUGAGUAG